rnacentral:rRNA from 1 species
CCUACGGGUGGCAGCAGUGAGGAAUAUUGGUCAAUGGGCGCAAGCCUGAACCAGCCAAGUCGCGUGAGGGAUGACGGUCCUAUGGAUUGUAAACCUCUUUUGUCGUGGAGCAAGGCCCGCCACGUGUGGCGGGAAGGAGAGUACCCGACGAAAAGGCAUCGGCUAACUCCGUGCCAGCAGCCGCGUUAAUACGGGGGAUGCGAGCGUUCUCCGGAUUUCUUGGGUUAAAGGGUUGCGUAUGCGGGCUUUUAAGUCAGCGGUAAAAAGUCGGGGCUCAACCCCGUACUGCCGUUGAUACUGGGGGCCUUGAGUGGGCGAGAAGAAGGCGGAAUGCGUGGUGUAGCGGUGAAAUGCAUAGAUAUCACGAAGAACCCCGAUUGCGAAGGCAGCCUUCCGGCGCCCUACUGACGCUGAGGCACGAAAGUGCGGGGAUCGAACAGGAUUAGAUACCCCAGUAGUC